UACGGAGGAUGCGAGCGUUAUCCGGAUUUAUUGGGUUUAAAGGGUGCGUAGGCGGAUUAAUAAGUCAGUGGUGAAAUCCUGCAGCUUAACUGUGGAACUGCCAUUGAUACUGAUAGUCUUGAGUUUGGUUAAGGUAGGCGGAAUGUGUAAUGUAGCGGUGAAAUGCUUAGAUAUUACACAGAACACCAAUUGCGUAGGCAGCUUACUGAGCCGACACUGACGCUGAGGCACGAAAGCGUGGGGAUCGAACAGGAUUA
rnacentral:rRNA from 1 species